GAUGAACGCUGGCGGCGUGCCUAAUACAUGCAAGUCGAGCGAAUGGAUUGAGAGCUUGCUCUUAUGAAGUUAGCGGCGGACGGGUGAGUAACACGUGGGUAACCUGCCCAUAAGACUGGGAUAACUCCGGGAAACCGGGGCUAAUACCGGAUAACAUUUUGAACCGCAUGGUUCGAAAUUGAAAGGCGGCUUCGGCUGUCACUUAUGGAUGGACCCGCGUCGCAUUAGCUAGUUGGUGAGGUAACGGCUCACCAAGGCAACGAAGCGUAGCCGGCCGUCGAGGGUGAUCGGCAACACUGGGACUGAGACACGACCCAGACUCCUACGGGAGGCAGCAGUAGGGAAUCUUCCGCAAUGGACGAAAGUCUGACGGAGCAACGCCGCGUGAGUGAUGAAGGCUUUCGGGUCGUAAAACUCUGUUGUUAGGGAAGAACAAGUGCUAGUUGAAUAAGCUGGCACCUUGACGGUACCUAACCAGAAAGCCACGGCUAACUACGUGCCAGCCGCCGCAGUAA
rnacentral:rRNA from 1 species